rnacentral:rRNA from 1 species
AGAGUUUGAUCCUGGCUCAGAACGAACGUUGGCGGCGUGGAUUAGGCAUGCAAGUCGAACGAAGACACCCCGGGUAGCAAUACUUGGGGUGGACUGAGUGGCGAAAGGGGCAGUAAUGCGUGGGUAACCUACCCUGGGGAUGGGCAUAGCCGGUCUAACGGCCGGGUAAUUCCCAGCGAUUCGGCGAGGAGGCAUCUCUUUGCCGGGAAAUGAGUUUCGCCUCGGGAGGGGCUCACGUCGUAUUAGCUAGUUGGUGGGGUAACGGCCUACCAAGGCGAAGAUGCGUAGCGGGUGUGAGAGCACGACCCGCGCCACUGGCACUGAGACACUGGCCAGACACCUACGGGUGGCUGCAGUCGAGGAUCUUCGGCAAUGGGCGCAAGCCUGACCGAGCGACGCCGCGUGUGCGAUGAAGGCCUUCGGGUUGUAAAGCACUGUCGAGGGGGAUCAAAGCGCAAGCUUGAGAGAUCCCUGGAGGAAGCACGGGCUAAGUUCGUGCCAGCCGCCGCGGUAAUUC